GAUGAACGCUGGCGGCGUGCCUAAUACAUGCAAGUCGAGCGAACGGACGAGAAGCUUGCUUCUCUGAUGUUAGCGGCGGACGGGUGAGUAACACGUGGAUAACCUACCUAUAAGACUGGGAUAACUUCGGGAAACCGUAGCUAAUACCGGAUAAUAUUUUGAACCACAUGGUUCAAAAUUGAAAGACGGUCUUGCUGCCACUUAUAGAUGGAUCCGCGCUUCAUUAGCUAGUUGGUAAGGUAACGGGUUACCAAGGCAACGAUGCAUAGCCGACCUGAGAGGGUGAUCGGCCACACUGGAACUGAGACACGGUCCAGACUCCUACGGGAGGCAGCAGUAGGGAAUCUUCGGCAAUGGGCGAAAGCCUGACGGAGCAACGCCGCGUGAGUGAUGAAGGUCUUCGGAUCGUAAAACUCUGUUAUUAGGGAAGAACAUAUGUGUAAGUAACUGUGCACAUCUUGACGGUACCUAAUCAGAAAGCCACGGCUAACUACGUG
rnacentral:rRNA from 1 species